rnacentral:rRNA from 1 species
CCUAAGGUAGCGAAAUUCCUUGUCGGGUAAGUUCCGACCUGCACGAAUGGUGUAAUGAUGGCCAGGCUGUCUCCACCAGAGACUCAGUGAAAUUGAAAUUGCGGUGAAGAUGCCGUAUACCCGCGGCUAGACGGAAAGACCCCGUGAACCUUUACUAUAGCUUGGCACUGAACAUUGACCCUUGAUGUGUAGGAUAGGUGGGAGGCUUUGAAGCGUGGACGCCAGUCUGCGUGGAGCCAACCUUGAAAUACCACCCUUGUAUGUUUGAUGUUCUAACGUGGGCCCCUAAUCGGGGUUGCGGACAGUGUCUGGUGGGUAGUUUGACUGGGGCGGUCUCCUCCUAAAGAGUAACGGAGGAGCACGAAGGUUAGCUAAUCCUGGUCGGACAUCAGGAGGUUAGUGCAAUGGCAUAAGCUAGCUUGACUGCGAGCGUGACGGCGCGAGCAGGUGCGAAAGCAGGUCAUAGUGAUCCGGUGGUUCUGAAUGGAAGGGCCAUCGCUCAACGGAUAAAAGGUACUCCGGGGAUAACAGGCUGAUA